rnacentral:rRNA from 1 species
GGGAGAGUAAUACGUAGAUACGUGCCCUCGGGUUCAGGAUAGCCACGGGAAACUGUGGGUAAUUGUGGAUGAUUGUCUUCGGACCAAAGGUGUGAUUCCGCCCGGGGAUCGGUCUGCGUCCUAUCAUGCUUGUUGGUGAGGUAACGGCUCACCAAGGCUACGACGGGUACGGGGUGUGAGAGCAUGCCCCCGCUCACUGGGACUGANACACUGCCCAGACACCUACGGGUGGCUGCAGUCGAGGAUCUUCGGCAAUGGGCGCAAGCCUGACCGAGCGACGCCGCGUGCGGGAUGAAGGCCUUCGGGUUGUAAACCGCUUUUAGUGGGGAGGAAGGCUCCGUGAANAGCGGGGUUUGACCUAUCCGCAGAAUAAGUGUGGGCUAAGUUCGUGCCAGCAGCCGCGGUAAGACGAACCACACGAACGUUAUUCGGAAUUACUGG